AAAAAAUAACCACAUUUAUUUGUAAAUAUAGAAAGUAAUUUAAAUAUUGUAUGAGCUUAAAUGAAACGUGUUAGCUUCGUAUUUGUUGUGAUUGCAAAUAGCUAAAGAAAGGCGAACAUUUCUUAUUUAUAUCGGCAAUAUUGCAAUGACUUUCAAAUAGUUGAAAAAUAGGAUUUUUACUUGCUCAUAUUAAAUUUCGCAAGAAAUGAAUUUACCGUUUUUAACACUUUUAGUAAGUGUUUCGCAAAUUAUGGCACUGCCGGUUCGGAUAUCAGAUCAAAUGUAUAUAACACCAGAGGACAAUUGGAUAAUGACUAUAGAAGAUCCGGUAGACAUUAGACGGGACUCUGAUACAUUACUUGAAACAGAGAUCCAACCACACUAUGAUAAUGGUUUUGACGUAUUCAAAAGAAAAAAGUACAGGAAUGGACUAAGGAAAAAAUGUAAAAAACAAACACCUUUAAUUCCGCUCGGAAUAGCAUGCCAGCAGUUAAGAAAAUCAAUUAAAUAGAAAAAGAAGUUUAUUAAGUAAAGAAUUAGACCAUGAAAAAUGUUUUAAGUUUGAUGGGAAUGUUUUAUUCAAAUAUCUCAAUAUGUGCACAUAAUCAGAACAUGCAUAUUUAUAUUUUUGGCGAAAAUUUAAACAUACAUUACAACAAUCUUAAGAUGUUACUUAGGAAUAUGUGCUUUGCUUGUAAACUGACUGCAUUUAUAAUUGAGAGACAACCAGCUGACCAGUGUUUCUUUGUGUUUUUUUUAAUGAUUUAGCAUUUGCUUUCUGCGGGAUUGUCUUAAUUAUAAUAGUACUUGUUUUCAUUCCUGUUUUUAUUUUACAUUUUAGUAUGUACAUUCAUUCACAUAAGCAUAUUAUUUGUGUAAAUUGACUUGUAGCUAGACUGUCAAACUUUAAGAAAUAGUCAACAACACUGAGAGUCUGCAAACAUUUAACGGAUCGGAGGUAUAAUUUUCUUCUUUGUGUUUAUGUGUACACAUAUUGUUUAUGAAUUGAUGAAUAUUAAUUACUAUUAUAAUAACAAAACAAAUGUUUAAGAUGAUUAUAAUUAUAAUAAAGUGAUAUACAUUGUA